CAGCAUCAGCUGGGACAGGAAGAACUUCUCAGGCUGAGUGAUGGGCGGCAGGAAACCUGGAGACAACAUGGAAACGGAGGGGAAGUUUCAGAUGAAUCCUUCUAAAUAUAUGGGCCGUUUGUAGAAGAAAACACAUGAAUGCUACCAUAAGUCUUAUGAUCGUCUUUAAGGGCAGCUAGUUCCUCAUGGGACCCUACCUGACAGAACCUUCUCCUGCUCUUCUCCCGGCGCAGGGUUCAGCAGGUGGGCGAACACAGCGGCGAACGGGUUGGCAGCCAGGGGCUCGGUUCUGUACAUCUCCCAGAGCAGGUAG